GACAGAGGGGGCAAGCGUUGCCCGGAAUCACUGGGCGUAAAGGGCGCGUAGGCGGGAUGGCAAGUCGGUCGUGAAAUCCCUCGGCUCAACCGAGGAGCGUCGGCCGAUACUGCCAUUCUUGAGGGAUGCAGAGGAGACUGGAAUUCCCGGUGUAGCGGUGAAAUGCGCAGAUAUCGGGAGGAACACCUAUGGCGAAGGCAGCUCGCUGGGACGUGACUGACGCUGAGACGCGAAAGCGUGGGGAGCAAACAGG
rnacentral:rRNA from 1 species